rnacentral:lncRNA from 1 species
AGAUAUGAAAUAUUGUUGUGGUUAGUAGGAGAGGAGAAAAAGAAGGUAUUUUAGUAAUGAUUUUCCUAAUGGAAAAGUAGAGGCAAUACUCCAGUCAUCACUCAGGGUCGUAGAUUUAGAGGUAGAAGGGACAUCCAGUCCAAAACCACUCCCUCCUCCUUUUUUUUUUUUAACAGAUGAGGAAACUUAGGUUCCAAGAGAUUAAGUGAAUUUCCUGAGGUCACCCAGGUCGUAAAUGACAGAGCAAGAAUUGAAUCUAAAUCCUCUGCUUCCCAAUGCAGUCCUCUUUUCCCUGCAUCCCUCUGUCUCUGCUCCAGAUUUUUGCCAUUCAGGACAUUAACUCAGAUUGUUUCCAUAUGCAGUGCUUUCUCUGCAGUUGCUCAUGUUCCAUUCAAAAAAGGAGGUCACCUUGGAAAAAGAGAAGCUUUUUGAAUACAGCCCUAAGGACAGUCGAGGAGUUGGCCAAGGAGCUCUAUGGAGACACAGGAAGAAGAUUUUUCAAGAACCAGCGGGAGGAACUGGGCCACACUGAAAAAUAUUCAUUGGUCUCCCCAAACUCAGGAAGUCCAGAAGUACCCUGGUUGCUCUGAAGCCAUUAAGGGGCGGCUCACUGCUCCUGCCUCUGCUUUUAAUUCUGGUUCCAGUUCCAGCCUUCUGACUUUCUUGCCUGGGUUGACAACAUCUGUCUACACCUUUUGGAACACAAGCAAGUCCCACUCUCCCCGAAGUCCUGGAUGUCAUGAUUUGCUAACUCCUCACUUCCUGCCUCCAAGGGGGUGGAACAGGGCACACAGUACUUGUAUUGUGAAGUAUAAUCAUUUCUUUGUUUAACUGAUUUGAUUUUAAAUAUCGUCAUUAUAUUACUGGAUUAUUGACAAUAGAAAUAUAAACUGAUCUUCAGUGAAUGGCUGUUGAUUUUUUCUGCUUAAGUUGUGACAUAUCAACAUCUAAUAAAAAACUUACAAUGAUAAUGGCCA